rnacentral:rRNA from 1 species
UGCCAGCCGCCGCGGUGACACGUAGGCACCAAGCGUUAUCCGGAUUUAUUGGGCGUAAAGAGCUCGUAGGCGGUUUGGUAAGUCGGGUGUGAAAACUUGAGGCUCAACCUCAAGAGGCCACCCGAUACUGCUAUGACUAGAGUACGGUAGGGGAGCGGGGAAUUCCUGGUGUAGCGGUGAAAUGCGCAGAUAUCAGGAGGAACACCAGUGGCGAAGGCGCCGCUCUGGGCCGUAACUGACGCUGAGGAGCGAAAGCGUGGGUAGCAAACAGGAUUAGAUACCCUGGUAGUCCACGCCGUAAACGUUGGGCACUAGGUGUGGGUCUCAACCAACGAGAUCCGCGCCGUCGCUAACGCAUUAAGUGCCCCGCCUGGGGAGUACGGCCGCAAGGCUAAAACUCAAAGGAGUUGACGGGGGCCCGCACAAGCAGCGGAGCGUGUUGCUUAAUUCGAUGCAACGCGAAGAACCUUACCUGGGUUUGACAUGUAGGGAAAAGCUCUAGAGAUAGGGUGUCCUUCGGGGCCUUACACAGGUGGUGCAUGGCUGUCGUCAGCUCGUGUCGUGAGAUGUUGGGUUAAGUCCCGCAACGAGCGCAACCCUUAUCCUAUGUUGCCAGCAAGUAAUGUUGGGGACUCGUAGGAGACUGCCGGGGUCAACUCGGAGGAAGGUGGGGAUGACGUCAAGUCAUCAUGCCCCUUAUGCCCAGGGCUGCAAACACGCUACAAUGGGCCCGGUACAAAGGGCUGCAAUCCCGUGAGGGUGAGCGAAUCCCACCAAAGCCGGUCUUCAGUUCCGGAUUGGAGUUCUGCAACUCGACUCCAUGAAGCCGGAGUUGCUAAGUAAUCCCCGGAUCAGCACGCCGGGGGUGAAUACGUUUCCCGGGCCCUUGUACCACACCGGCCGUACAACCACGAAAGUCCGCCAACACCCGAAAGCCCGGUGGCCUAACUCUUUGAAGAGGGAGCCCGUCCAAAGGUGGGGUUCGGUGGAUU